GGAGAAGUAUCGAAGUGGUCAUAACGGGACUGACUCGAAAUCAGUUGUACCUUAUCGGUACCGUGGGUUCGAAUCCCACCUUCUCCGCCA
rnacentral:tRNA from 1 species